AUGCAUCUGACAGACAAGGAGCAGUUACUGUCUGCUGCUAAGGUUUUCACUAGAGAGCAAGGAAAAAAGUGUCCUCACACUUUCUGAUUGUGACAGCCAAGACUGAAUGGAGAGAUACAGAA
rnacentral:snoRNA from 1 species